UGAUGGAGGACGGAGCUCCUUUUAGUCCAAUUCAGAGGGCUGAGGAGUGGCAAGAGCUGCCAUCUCAUGCAUUUGGCUACCCCCUUAACAUAUUAUUUUUCCAACCCUAGCCCUCUGCACGAAUGUUAAGGGUUUGGCCUGGUGCAUGGCGUGGGAGCAACUCCUUCCGCUCGCUUUGCCCACCCAUUGGACUGAAGGGAGCUCCCCACCAGCGUCGG
rnacentral:pre_miRNA from 1 species